rnacentral:rRNA from 1 species
GAUGAACGCUGACAGAAUGCUUAACACAUGCAAGUCGAUGGGGAAGUGGUGCUUGCACCAUGGCAACCAUGGCGGACGGGUGAGUAACGCGUAAGGGACUUACCUGCAGGACUGGGAUAACAGGGGGAAACUCCUGACAAGACCGGAUAAUGUCAUGGAGCUGCAUGGCUUUAUGAUGAAAGGAGACGCCUGCGGAGAGCCUUGCGUCCUAUUAGCUAGUUGGUGAGGUAAUGGCUCACCAAGGCGAAGAUAGGUAGCCGGCCUGAGAGGGUGGACGGCCACAAGGGGACUGAGAUACGGCCCUUACUCCUACGGGAGGCAGCAGUGGGGAAUAUUGGACAAUGGGGGCAACCCUGAUCCAGCAAUUCUGUGUGCACAAAGAAGGUUUUCGGAUUGUAAAGUGCUUUCAGCAGGGAAGAAGUAAGUGACGGUACCUGCAGAAGAAGCGACGGCUAAAUACGUG